UACGUAGGGGGCAAGCGUUGUCCGGAAUUAUUGGGCGUAAAGCGCGCGCAGGCGGUUCUUAAGUCUGGUGUAUAAGUGCGGGGCUCAACCCCGUGAGGCACUGGAAACUGGGGAACUUGAGUGCAGAAGAGGAGAGCGGAAUUCCACGUGGUAGCGGUGAAAUGCGUAGAGAUGUGGAGGAACACCAGUGGCGAAGGCGGCUCUCUGGACUGUAACUGACGCUGAGGUGCGAAAGCGUGGGGAGCAAACAGG
rnacentral:rRNA from 1 species